rnacentral:lncRNA from 1 species
ACGUUUGUUCAGAACGUAGCAUGGAGCAGGGAGCAAGUAGAGGGUGGAGUUGGGCUGGAUUAAGUAUUCAGAGCAAGCAAGGCAAAGAGUGGAACAAGUGCUCUAAGCAAGCAGCUAAUGUGUGAGGUGCCAGCAAGAAGAACAAGAUCAUGACCCAGAUACUAAGCAAGGGUAGCAACAGGUUUGAAGAGUCAAAGACUAGAGCAAAAAAAAUUGUGAUAGUGUGUAGAAGAGAAUCGUGCUGAUAACGUGUUGAGAAUGUUUAGAAAGA